ACACCUGACACAUCUCAUCAUCGUCAUGGUUUCCAUUUUGAUGCCAUGUGACAUCACUGCUGUUGAAAUUUAAGUUCAGUUCUAAUUCCAAUAUUUGGAAAACAACCAUGAAUCACCAUGGUAGCAGAGACCAGGAAACAAGCGAAUUGUGGGUUCUUUUGAAGACCCUGACCGGGAGUUGCAAGCUGACUUCGGUUCUUUGGGAAAAUGGGACCCAUUAUCAGGGUUUCAGGACUGGCCGAUGUUCGACACGCCAAGGGUUCGGCCUGAGAGUUUGGCCCAGAUUUGAAAGCCUAAGGUCUCGGGGCUCUGAAGAUGGGUGGAUCGAGGUGGCAGGAGACCCGUGUGUCGUCAGGGGAACUGGAAAAUCUACUGCUGUGUGCCCAAAGACCCGGGAUCUUUGCAACAUUUGGCAACAGAGCUUGGAAAAAGCAAGGAAUAGACUUUUAACAUCAUAAACCAGCGAGUUGUUUGUUAUGUCUCCCUGCUCACUGGGAAAAUGAAGAGACCUCCUUCUCUGUUAUUAGGGAGAGAGAGAAUCUGUGGUUAUCUGUAAAAGUACAUAAAUGGCAUACGUCAUCAUGGCGCCGUGUGAAAUGUGCACGUCUCACUGAAGUAAAGAACAAAC